rnacentral:rRNA from 1 species
GCAGUCGACGCUUCUUUUUCCCCGGAGCUUGCUCCACCGGAAAAAGAGGAGUGGCGAACGGGUGAGUAACACGUGGGUAACCUGCCCAUCAGAAGGGGAUAACACUUGGAAACAGGUGCUAAUACCGUAUAACAAUCAAAACCGCAUGGUUUUGAUUUGAAAGGCGCUUUCGGGUGUCGCUGAUGGAUGGACCCGCGGUGCAUUAGCUAGUUGGUGAGGUAACGGCUCACCAAGGCCACGAUGCAUAGCCGACCUGAGAGGGUGAUCGGCCACAUUGGGACUGAGACACGGCCCAAACUCCUACGGGAGGCAGCAGUAGGGAAUCUUCGGCAAUGGACGAAAGUCUGACCGAGCAACGCCGCGUGAGUGAAGAAGGUUUUCGGAUCGUAAAACUCUGUUGUUAGAGAAGAACAAGGAUGAGAGUAACUGUUCAUCCCUUGACGGUAUCUAACCAGAAAGCCACGGCUAACUACGUGCCAGCAGCCGCGGUAAUACGUAGGUGGCAAGCGUUGUCCGGAUUUAUUGGGCGUAAAGCGAGCGCAGGCGGUUUCUUAAGUCUGAUGUGAAAGCCCCCGGCUCAACCGGGGAGGGUCAUUGGAAACUGGGAGACUUGGGUGCAGAAGAGGAGAGUGGAAUUCCAUGUGUAGCGGUGAAAUGCGUAGAUAUAUGGAGGAACACCAGUGGCGAAGGCGGCUCUCUGGUCUGUACUGACGCUGAGGCUCGAAGCGUGGGAGCAACAGGAU